CCUACGGGGGGCAGCAGUGGGGAAUAUUGGACAAUGGGGGCAACCCUGAUCCAGCCAUGCCGCGUGUGUGAAGAAGGCCCUCGGGUUGUAAAGCACUUUCAGUGAGGAAGAACGCCUGGUGGUUAAUACCCAUCAGGAAAGACAUCACUCACAGAAGAAGCACCGGCUAACUCCGUGCCAGCAGUCGCGGUAAUACGGAGGGUGCGAGCGUUAAUCGGAAUUACUGGGCGUAAAGCGCGCGUAGGUGGCUUGAUAAGCCGGUUGUGAAAGCCCCGGGCUCAACCUGGGAACGGCAUCCGGAACUGUCAAGCUAGAGUGCAGGAGAGGAAGGUAGAAUUCCCGGUGUAGCGGUGAAAUGCGUAGAGAUCGGGAGGAAUACCAGUGGCGAAGGCGGCCUUCUGGACUGACACUGACACUGAGGUGCGAAAGCGUGGGUAGCAAACAGGAUUAGAUACCCUUGUAGUC
rnacentral:rRNA from 1 species